rnacentral:rRNA from 1 species
AUUGAACGCUGGCGGCAGGCUUAACACAUGCAAGUCGAGCGGGCGAGGUUGCUUCGGUAACUGAGCUAGCGGCGGACGGGUGAGUAAAGCUUAGGAAUCUGCCUAUUAGUGGGGGACAACAUUCCGAAAGGGAUGCUAAUACCGCAUACGUCCUACGGGAGAAAGCAGGGGAUCUUUAUGACCUUGCGCUAAUAGAUGAGCUUAAGUCGGAUUAGCUAGUUGGUGGGGUAAAGGCCUACCAAGGCGACGAUCUGUAGAGGGUCUGAGAGGAUGAUCCGCCACACUGGGACUGAGACACGGCCCAGACUCCUACGGGAGGCAGCAGUGGGGAAUAUUGGACAUGGGGGGAACCCUGAUCCAGCCAUGCAGCGUGUGUGAAGAAGGCCUUUUGGUUGUAAAGCACUUUAAGCGAGGAGGAGGCUUACCUGGUUAAUACCUGGGAUAAGUGGACGUUAUUCGCAGAAUAAGCACCGGCUAACUCUGUGCCAGCAGCCGCGGUAACAC